GCCAAAAUAAAAAACUUACGCCCAUAAAAUCUUGCACCAACUUUGGAUAAGACCCAGGCACUUGAGACACUAGCUUAUUGGCAUGUGGAUGAACAUGAGGAGGUGCCACAUGGGUCUUAAACCCAUGUCAGAAGGACUAUAUUCCUUCUCCAUGCUAAACAGAAAUUGGCGCCCCAAAAAAAUAUGGUGCCUAAUACUAGAUAGAGUCCC
rnacentral:lncRNA from 1 species